rnacentral:rRNA from 1 species
UACGUAGGGUGCAAGCGUUGUCCGGAAUUAUUGGGCGUAAAGAGCUCGUAGGCGGUCUGUCGCGUCUGCUGUGAAAACUCAGGGCUUAACCCUGAGCUUGCAGUGGGUACGGGCAGACUAGAGUGCGGUAGGGGAGACUGGAAUUCCUGGUGUAGCGGUGAAAUGCGUAGAUAUCAGGAGGAACACCGGUGGCGAAGGCGGCUCUUCUGGACCACAACUGACGC